AAGCCAGUGGUGAACUCCACAUACGCAUCCUUUGCUGAGGAUACGGUUAACGGAGCGAAAGCGACGUUCAACCUCAAAAGAAGCAGAGGGGGCUUAGUGGUGGGGUGACUGCGUACCUUUUGUAUAAUGGGUCAGCGACUUAUAUUCUGUAGCAAGGUUAACCGUAUAGGGGAGCCGGAGGGAAACCGAGUCUUAAUUGGGCGUUAAGUUGCAGGGUAUAGACCCGAAACCCGGUGAUCUAGCCAUGGGCAGGUUGAAGGUUGGGUAACACUAACUGGAGGACCGAACCGACUAAUGUUGAAAAAUUAGCGGAUGACCUGUGGCUGGGGGUGAAAGGCCAAUCAAACCGGGAGAUAGCUGGUUCUCCCCGAAAGCUAUUUAGGUAGCGCCUCGUGAAUUCAUCUCCGGGGGUAGAGCACUGUUUCGGCUAGGGGGCCAUCCCGGCUUACCAACCCGAUGCAAACUGCGAAUACCGGAGAAUGUUAUCACGGGAGACACACGGCGGGUGCUAACGUCCGUCGUGAAGAGGGAAACAACCCAGACCGCCAGCUAAGGUCCCAAAGUCAUGGUUAAGUGGGAAACGAUGUGGGAAGGCCCAGACAGCCAGGAUGUUGGCUUAGAAGCAGCCAUCAUUUAAAGAAAGCGUAAUAGCUCACUGGUCGAGUCGGCCUGCGCGGAAGAUGUAACGGGGCUAAACCAUGCACCGAAGCUGCGGCAGCGAACGUAUCACUUAAAGCGAUUCAGCGGGUUACGAUUGACGGAGCGAAGCGACGUCAAAGCGUAUACAAAGUCGAGUCGGUUUAAGGAUACGUU
rnacentral:rRNA from 1 species